AUUGAACGCUGGCGGCGUGCUUAACACAUGCAAGUCGGUCGGUAACGCGGGGGCAACCCUGGCGACGAGAGGCGGACGGGUGAGGAACGCUUGGGAAUCUGCCUAUCAGCGGGGGACAACACGGGGAAACUCGUGCUAAUACCGCAUACGCUCUACGGAGGAAAGCCGGGGACCGCAAGGCCUGGCACUGAUAGAUGAGCCCAAGCCGGAUUAGCUAGUUGGCGGGGUAACGGCCCACCAAGGCGACGAUCCGUAGCUGGUCUGAGAGGACGAUCAGCCACACUGGGACUGAGACACGGCCCAGACUCCUACGGGAGGCAGCAGUGGGGAAUUUUGGACAAUGGGGGCAACCCUGAUCCAGCCAUGCCGCGUGAGUGAAGAAGGCCUUCAGGUUGUAAAGCUCUUUCGGCCGGGAAGAAAUCGCACGGGCUAAUACCCUGUGUGGAUGACGGUACCGGAAUAAGAAGCACCGGCUAACUACGUGCCAGCAGCCGCCGUAAAAC
rnacentral:rRNA from 1 species